rnacentral:lncRNA from 1 species
GAGGCUUUGUUAUUGAAGGUCUGGGGGAGAGGGGAGUGUUGCAAGGCCAGCCUGGGAUUCCCUGAGGGCAGGCUGAGGAAGCCAGCUGUCUGGGAGCCCCAGGGUCUGGGAACUAGAAUCCACACUUAGUAGGCUAAUGGCAGCAUGAAAAUAAGAAAAAAAAACUUUCUCCCCAUGCUGCUGGGGCAAUGAUUUGUUAAAAGAAGCGUUCACCGUGAUCUAAGUCGCUCGGCCCUUCACGACUUUUCUGUCUUUCUUUCUGCCAUGAAGCACUUAAUAUGUGCCAGGCAAUGUUACCCUUUGCCAGCUGCUUGGGAGUCAGUGAGGAGCAAGGCUGGGCCCAGCCCUACCCUCCUUGCCAUCUGCUGGGCACAUGGUGAGCAUUCAGGGUUUGUUGGAUUUAAUGGAAUGGUUUUAUUUGCUACACUCUUUUCCAAAUGUGGGUUUUUCCCCACGUCUGUCCCCACCAAAUAGACUAGACUGUGAGCACCUUGAAGAGGUCUUAAUAAUUUCUAUAUCCUCAGUGCCAAUCACGGCGCUUGGCACAUAGUCCAUAGUUGGUGUUCAGUAAAUAUUUGUUAGAUGAAUUAAAGAGCAAUAGCCAGCAUACUGUGGCCUACGUUAAGAUAUUGGAAUUAAUUUGUGUCUGCACUGCUGAGUUCCCACGCUGUUGGACACGGCAAAGAGGCGAAGAGAGAAAAAGGUGCAUAUACGAAGCUCCCGCCAUUUAUUAAUGCGACAAAAGUUGUUCCUAUUCAAAAGUCCCUUUAGGACAUCUUGCGAGACAUGGUCUGGAGUAAUUUCAAGAAACAGAGAGGGAAGAAGGAAUAAGAGGGGCCAAGAAAAGAUCCAGAGAGAGAGACCUCACACAACGGAGCGAAAGGAGAGAGGGAUGCGGACUAUCACAGAAGCCAGAAGGAAGGAACUUCCAACAUGCAGACGAAAUGCAUCACCUCCUCACACACGUAUGUCAUUUCCUCAAAGGCAUGGAGCUAGUUGUCUGCGGGAUCCUCUUCAGCUCUGAGAAGUAAGAUUCUAAUGUUUACUCCAUCUCACAGCUAAGGGUCUUCAACCAAACCACUUUCUUCGCCAGGCCUUCGGCGGUUGGCUGCCCCUGCCCUCCUGGCCAGGGCCCACUCUUCAUGCACUUUCUGCCUUCUCUUCUGAGAUGAGACCAUUAGCA